CCCCGGUGAUUUAGUUUAGGGCGCCAUACCCGAUCCCAUUCCGAACUCGGAAGUAAAAGCCCUAAACGCCGAUGAUAGUCCUUCGGGGCGAAAGUAGGUUUUGCCGGGGA
rnacentral:rRNA from 2 species